UCUCCGUUGGUGAACCAGCGGAGGGAUCAUUACCGAGUUUACAACUCCCAAACCCCUGUGAACAUACCAUUUGUUGCCUCGGCGGUGCCUGCUUCGGCAGCCCGCCAGAGGACCCAAACCCUUGAUUUUAUACAGUAUCUUCUGAGUAAAUGAUUGAAUAAAUCAAAACUUUCAACAACGGAUCUCUUGGUUCUG
rnacentral:misc_RNA from 1 species